UACGUAGGGUGCGAGCGUUGUCCGGAAUUACUGGGCGUAAAGAGUUCGUAGGCGGUUUGUCACGUCGGGUGUGAAAGCUUGGGGCUUAACUCCAGGUCUGCAUUCGAUACGGGCUGGCUAGAGGUAGGUAGGGGAGAACGGAAUUCCUGGUGUAGCGGUGAAAUGCGCAGAUAUCAGGAGGAACACCGGUGGCGAAGGCGGUUCUCUGGGCCUUACCUGACGCUGAGGAGCGAAAGCGUGGGGAGCGAACAGG
rnacentral:rRNA from 1 species